AGAAAUACAAGAUACCUCACAGUAAAAUCCUAGUAAAACUUGGAAUUGACGGUGGACAAACUCUGGUUGAUCUCGUCGGAAAUUUUCGAAAAAGAGGCUUUGCUCUAAGCAAAUGACCUGGAUUUAGGAGGGAGAGAGAGAGAGAGAAGGCGGUGGUUGCUCAGCUACAGACAAGUUGGCAGCGCAUUUUUUCCAGAGCAUUGCAGAGAGGAAUAGGGAAUAGAUACAGAAUGUGAUUUUGACAGCACCAUGUUUGUCGUACUGAAACAAUCCUCGG
rnacentral:lncRNA from 1 species